AUGUUGGGACUCUGUAGGUUUCUACUGUAUGGGACUCUAUAGGUUUCUACACUGUAGGUUUCUACUGUAUGUAUGGGACUGUAGGUUUCUACUGUAUGUAUGGGACUCUGUAGGUUUCUACUGUAUGGGACUCUGUAGGUUUCUACUGUAUGUAUGGGACUCUGUAGGUUUCUACACUCUGUAGGUUUCUACUGUAUGGUUGGGACUCUGUAGGUUUCUACUGUAUGGGACUCUGUAGGUUUCUACACUGUAGGUUUCUACUGUAUGUAUGGGACUGUAGGUUUCUACUGUAUGUAUGGGACUCUGUAGGUUUCUACUGUAUGGGACUCUGUAGGUUUCUACUGUAUGUAUGGGACUCUGUAGGUUUCUACACUCUGUAGGUUUCUACUGUAUGGUUGGGACUCUGUAGGUUUCUACUGUAUGGGACUCUAUAGGUUUCUACACUGUAGGUUUCUACUGUAUGUAUGGGACUGUAGGUUUCUACUGUAUGUAUGGGACUCUGUAGGUUUCUACUGUAUGUAUGGGACUCCGUAGGUUUCUACACUCUGUAGGUUUCUACUGUAUGUAUGGGUCUCUUUAGGUUUCUACACUCUGUAGGUUUC